GGCCAUAGAAGGUGAUAGCCCUGUAUCUGAAAGGGCCAUUUCAGUGAAGACGAGUAGGGCGGGGCACGUGAAACCCUGUCUGAACAUGGGGGGACCAUCCUCCAAGGCUAAAUACUACUGACCGACCGAUAGUGAACCAGUACCGUGAGGGAAAGGCGAAAAGAACCCCGGAGAGGGGAGUGAAAUAGAACCUGAAACCGUGUGCGUACAAGCAGUAGGAGCUCCGCAAGGAGUGACUGCGUACCUUUUGUAUAAUGGGUCAGCGACUUACUGUUCGUGGCAAGCUUAACCGUAUAGGGGAGGCGAAGGGAAACCGAGUCUGAUAAGGGCGCAUAGUCGCGGGCAGUAGACCCGAAACCGGGUGAUCUAGUCAUGCCCAGGGUGAAGGUGCGGUAACACGCACUGGAGGCCCGAACCCACUCCCGUUGCAAAGGUAGGGGAUGAGGUGUGAUUAGGAGUGAAAAGCUAAUCGAACCCGGAGAUAGCUGGUUCUCCUCGAAAGCUAUUUAGGUAGCGCCUCAUAUGUAUCCUCUCGGGGGUAGAGCACUGUUAUGGCUAGGGGGUCAUCGCGACUUACCAAACCAUUGCAAACUCCGAAUACCGAGACGGACUGUAUGGGAGACACACGGCGGGUGCUAACGUCCGUCGUGAAAAGGGAAACAACCCAGACCCACAGCUAAGGUCCCAAAUUUUGUGCUAAGUGGAAAACCAUGUGGAAAGGCACAGACAGCCAGGAGGUUGGCUUAGAAGCAGCCACCCUUUAAAGAAAGCGUAAUAGCUCACUGGUCGAGUCGGUCUGCGGGGAAGAUUUAACGGGGCUAAGCACAGAACCGAAGCUUGGGGUGCAUAACUUUGUUAUGCGCGGUAGAGGAGCGUUCCGUAAGCCGUUGAAGGUGGAUUGAGAAGUCUGCUGGAGGUAUCGGAAGUGCGAAUGCUGACAUGAGUAACGAUAAUGCGGGUGAAAAACCCGCACGCCGAAAGCCCAAGGUUUCCUUGCGCAACGUUAAUCGGCGCAGGGUGAGUCGGCCCCUAAGGCGAGGACGAAAGUCGUAGUCGAUGGGAAGCAGGUUAAUAUUCCUGCACCUCGCGUAAGUGCGAUGGAGGGACGGAGAAGGUUAGGUGUACCAGGCGUUGGUUGUCCUGGGGAAAGGCGGUAGGUUUGGAUCUUUGGCAAAUCCGGGAUCCUCUAAGACCGAGCACCGAGACGAGCCUUUAUGGCAAAGUCACUGAUACCACGCUUCCAGGAAAAGCUCCUAAGCUUCAGCUUACGCAGACCGUACCGUAAACCGACACAGGUGGGUAGGAUGAGAAUUCUCAGGCGCUUGAGAGAACUCGGGUGAAGGAACUAGGCAACAUGGCACCGUAACUUCGGGAGAAGGUGCACCCUUUUUGGUGGCUCGUGCGAGCUAUAGCUGAAGAGGGUCGCAGUAACCAGGCCGCUGCGACUGUUUAUCAAAAACACAGCACUCUGCAAACACGAAAGUGGACGUAUAGGGUGUGACGCCUGCCCGGUGCUGGAAGGUUAAUUGAUGGGGUCAGCCGCAAGGCGAAGCUCUUGAUCGAAGCCCCAGUAAACGGCGGCCGUAACUAUAACGGUCCUAAGGUAGCGAAAUUCCUUGUCGGGUAAGUUCCGACCUGCACGAAUGGCGUAACGACAGCGGCGCUGUCUCCACCCGAGACUCAGUGAAAUUGAAAUCGCUGUGAAGAUGCAGCGUUCCCGUGGCAAGACGGAAAGACCCCGUGAACCUUUACUAUAGCUUUACACUGAACGUUGAGUUCGUCUGUGUAGGAUAGGUGGGAGGCUAUGAAACCAUGGCGCUAGCUGUGGUGGAGCCAUCCUUGAAAUACCACCCUGUCGUGCUUGACGUUCUAACCUGGGCCCAUUAUCUGGGUCGGGGACCGUGUAUGGUGGGUAGUUUGACUGGGGCGGUCUCCUCCUAAAGAGUAACGGAGGAGCUCGAAGGUACGCUCAGCGCGGUCGGACAUCGCGCACUGUGUGCAAAGGCAUAAGCGUGCUUGACUGCAAGAUCGACGGAUCAAGCAGGUAGGAAACUAGGACUUAGUGAUCCGGUGGUUCUGUAUGGAAGGGCCAUCGCUCAACGGAUAAAAGGUACUCCGGGGAUAACAGGCUGAUACCGCCCAAGAGUUCAUAUCGACGGCGGUGUUUGGCACCUCGAUGUCGGCUCAUCACAUCCUGGGGCUGUAGUCGGUCCCAAGGGUAUGGCUGUUCGCCAUUUAAAGUGGUACGCGAGCUGGGUUCAGAACGUCGUGAGACAGUUCGGUCCCUAUCUGCCAUGGGCGUUGGAGAUUUGAGAGGGGCUGCUCCUAGUACGAGAGGACCGGAGUGGACGAACCUCUGGUGUUCCGGUUGUCACGCCAGUGGCAUUGCCGGGUAGCUAUGUUCGGAAGCGAUAACCGCUGAAAGCAUCUAAGCGGGAAGCGCGCCUCAAGAUGAGAUCUCCCGGGGCACAAGCCCCCUGAAGGAACCAUGUAGACUACGUGGUUGAUAGGUCAGGUGUGUAAGUACAGCAAUGUAUUGAGCUAACUGAUACUAAUGAUCCGUGCGGCUUGACCAUAUAACCU
rnacentral:rRNA from 1 species